AAGCAAGAGAGUGGGUAAUGGACGCUCACAAUGCAGAGUCUCCCCAUCAGCAUCUGAUGGCAGGACCUCCUGCUCUAGACCCUCGACGGGCUGAUACCGCCAGCUAGCACAUGAGGGCACUCAAUACCCAGUUUGCAAGCUAGGUACAACUACAGUUGCAAAAUCAUCCAACUGAACUUUGGGAGGACGGCGUCAAAGAUUACUUAUCCCAUGCUUCUGAAAUCAUGGUUAGAUCCACGAGCUUGUAAGUUCCAUGCAACGAUGACGACAAUGACGGCGAUCACACUGAGGUUCUAAUCGCAGAGCUAAAAAGGAUUUUAAAAAUAAAGAGCGGAGGAUAUGCUUAGAAAGACUGCUAUCAAGCAGAAGAAGAGGCCAAGAUAAAGGAGGUUGAGCUGAUGCGAGGAAACCCGCUUAUCACUAUGAAUAACUCCGGAUCCUUCAAUGUGAAGAGAAGGAAACCUGCUUAUCACUAUGAAUAACUCCAGAUCCUUCAAUGUGAAGAGAAGGUGGGAUGAUGAUUUUGUACUCUAGAACCAGGCUCGUGGAGAGACCAAGACUCCAAAACGGUUCAUCAAGUGCACCAUUUAUUAGGAGUGAUUUCCACCGCAAGUUUUUGCAUAGGAAGACCAAAACAAAAAGACAUAAAUGAGUAGAACUGAACAGAAGAUCUCGUCGUUAGGAGAGGUUGAGGACAGAAGCAGAUGCAAAGAAAUUGGAAGUUCUUUCAAAGAAAAUAGGCAGCUUGCCAAAUAUAAUUGCCAAGAUAGCAAAGAGGACGAGGAAGAGGAAAAAUUGCACAAGGUGAACUGUGGCUAAGUAGGAAAGAGUGAAGUCAGCCCCCUUCUGUG